GGGAGAGGUGUUGACUUCGUUCCAUUUCUGUUAUGCUUCCAAACGCAGCUCUGAACUACGAAGCAAGGAAUAAUAAACACUCGCUACUUUUAUCAAUUGUUUAGCAAUCAAAGUGGAUAAGAAGAGAUGUCAGAGAAGUUCUAGCCGACGUUGAGGAUUGGAGAUCUCAGCGAUUUCAUAGCACCGUCUCAGGCUUGUGUCGUCUCUUUAAAGGGAUUGAAAUCAAACACAAUGAAACCUGAUAAAUAGGAUGUUUCAAUUGCUAAGAAUCAGCAAACUGAACCCGUUAAAAUCUCGCUCAAGGACUGUUUGGCAUGCAGGUAAAUUCCUUUCUCUGUGUGUUCAGUAGGCAAAAGCACUGACGGGCAACUAAUUAGGGAGAAUUUGAUAAAAUUAAUUGAUGUUUUCAUUGCGCUUUUUUUUUUUGGUUGAUUCUUCAGUUGAGGUUUAAGCUUGUAACCUCAAGAUAUCUCCAUGGAGUCAAAACUCAUUGCUUUAGAAACAACAUGACAAUAGGAAAUGAAAUUUAGUUCAAUUUUGCUAGUGCUCGAGUAACUUAUAGACAACUUGUUUGUGAUUUUUUGGAAAUGGAUACCGAGAUACAAAGCAGCCUAUUAUUUUUUUUUUUUUUUCUCUUACUUUUGAAGGAACAAGAAAAUCAUCAAAUUGUUAUCUCCUGUAUUGAUAUGUUGUGUGCAACCAUCCCCAUGAUAAAGGCAUAGAAUUUACUAUUUCUUGUGACAAUGCUGUGGGUGCAUAACAUCAGCAGAAACCAUCGUGCUGUUAUUGAUAAAGGAAAAGCCAUUAUUGUCUCCAUGUCUCCACAGUCUAGAGCUUCUCUUGCAGUUCAUUUUGGCAUCUCCGCCCUUCAGGUGGAGCUCACUUUCAUACCCAUGCUAAACUUUAAUUCACUAGUCUGCAUGUGUGAAGAGAAUAUUUUUAGUGUGAAGAAGUGCAUAUUUGCUUUUUAAGAAACUUGCAUCAUUUUUGAAGUCCUUGGGAGUAAAAGCUGUAUUCAAUACAAGUUGUAGUAGAGAUUUAACUCUUGUCCUUACACGCUACAAAUAGAGCCAAUCAAAUGAUGACAACAGAUCUGCAUUAGCUUUACCUAUGCUUUCAUCAGCGUGUCCAGGUUUAUUUCUUAGCCUUUGGUUGUUGAGCAAUUGUAUAACAUCCUCCCUGUCUCUGUUCCUUUCCCCUAAGCCUGCUAACAAACAGGCUACAUUUCAUUCACUUUUGAUGUAUGUUUUACAUGAUACAUAGAACUCCAAAUCUAUAAUGGAAGAUAUAUGAUAUACGUGGAAUGUUAUCAAUCAUAAAUCACUCCUAAGAUUUUGCUAAUCAAUCUUUUGAUUUUCUCAUAAUCAAGAGAUUAUUCAAUGAGACAUAUCUCAUGCGUUAAAGAAAAUUCUCAUUAAUUCCAACAUGCAUAAUGAAUCAUAUUUUAGCAGGAACCUUGUAUCUUGAAGUAAUUUGUAUUGUUUAUACUGAAAUAAGAAUUUUACUAUAUCUUGAAGUAAUUUGCAUUGUUUAUACUGAAAUAAGUAUUUUAUGAGUAUUUGUAAUCAUACUAAUUAUUACAUGUUAUUGGCUGCCUUUUGUGUGUGACGGGCACUGUUUGGUGAGGGCUCUUUAUCAAUUAGAGAAAUGAUGCCCAUGGAGUUUUUUUACCCGACUAUAUUAGAGGAUCAAUACUCUUGCCUACCUUAAAAACCAAAUUCUCUCCUUCCAGUGCUAAUAAAAAAAAAUCAUUAAAGAAGAAGACAAGAUAUGAGACUUGAAAUCCUGCAAUGCAUACCACUUAAUGGAGUUUCUUAAGUUAUGCUCCUUCUAUUUCCCCGUCAUCCAACCUAAGCUCCUCUUCCACAUAUUAAAAUUUUAAGUCCAGGACCAGGAUUAUUCUUUUGAUAGAUUUUGUCUUCAUAGCUCAUAUUGUGUCAUAGUGUGGUGUCGGUAUUUCUAUGCAGAUGCAAUUUAAGAUACAUUUUUGGUCUUCAUAUAUACUUGAAUGAUUUAAAUUAAUUGGUGAAAACUUGUUUAAUAGGCCGGACAAGGUUUACCAUGUCACUGUGAUGCCUUGUUAUGAUAAGAAGCUUGAGGUUGCAAGGGAUGACUUUGUUUUUGAAGUGGGCCGGACAAGGUUGAAAUUCUCCUUCUUUUUGGACUAAUGCAUAGGGCUAUUGACCUAUAGUGCUAUUCACCUACUCUUUUAAAAUCUAGAAGCAAUCGUAACCUUGUUUAGUUUCGUAUGCAAUGAAACAGGUUAUCAUUUUUUAACUGAUUUAUUGUGAAUAAGUGAUACCUAAGCUUCAGUUUAGUCUAUAUACAAUGACUACCCUUGUGUGUUUGCCUUUUAUGUUAUUUCCUUUUUAAGUAACCCAUAUGUAAUUUGAAAUUUUCUUAUGCAUGCAUAUAUUAGAAUUUAUACCAUUCAGGAUUUGCCUGUUAACUUUUGUGGGCUGGUCCAUUUCUAGGCUUGUGUACUGGAUUUGGGAUUAGUUCUUAGCAUAUCAUGUGCAUUAGUUUCCACUGUUUACUAAGUAGGAGUGACAGGAUCAUUUGAAUAAUCAAGUCUCAUGUCUUCCACCAUUAAUUUUAUGAACUGUUGGGAUCACCUAAAUUGAUCAGAACCAUUGGAAAUGGAUGUCCUAUGCUAAUCAAUGUCCCCAUCUCUCCAAAAGCAUUUGAUGUGCAACACGUUCUUUGGGUAAAUUGAUUGUAUUUCAAUAAAUGGAAUAACUACCCCAAGGGAAAGCAGAUAUGUAACUAGAUUAUGUUUGCUUGUUCAAUCAUUCAAAUAAAAAGGCUAUACUUAAAAUGGUGAGUUGUUUGAAUGAAAUUAUAUAGGCAGCAUAUAAACUCUAAUGACUACUUGUAACUGCUAAAAAAGGACUUGCGGAUAUGCAUGUGUGCAUUUUUUUAUGUUUGUUUUUGCUUUCAUUUAUCUUGUCCUAGUUUUGCAUAUAUGUUUUAACUGAUCAUAUUUCAUAUCAAUUUAUAGGUUUUAGUAGCAGAUCCCUUUGAGAAUCCUCUUGUUAAAGGCUUUUAUGAUGAGUGGCUUGAAGUACCUGGCUCAGAGACGGCUAAGAAAUUCUUGCACACAGCAUAUCAUCCUGUGGUUCAGAGCGUAACUGCUCGGUUACAUAACUGGUAACACUGGUUCCUAUGUCUGAUCCCACACAAAAUAUCAGAACUUCCCUAUGCUGUCAGUCCUUGGGCUUGUUUUCUCUA
rnacentral:misc_RNA from 1 species